ACAUGCCUACAACAUAACGUUAAUGCACCAGAUCCAAUUAGAACUACACAGUUAAGAAUGCUCAUGAUAGAGUAGUAUUGGGAUGGGUGACCACUCUAGAAGUCCUAGAUUUUUACAUGCC
rnacentral:rRNA from 1 species